rnacentral:rRNA from 1 species
AGUGAACGCUGGCGGCAGGCCUAAUACAUGCAAGUCGAACGGCAGCACAGCAGAGCUUGCUCUGUGGGUGGCGAGUGGCGGACGGGUGAGGAAUACAUGGGAAUCUGCCCAGUCGUGGGGGAUAACGUAUGGAAACGUACGCUAAUACCGCAUGCGCCCUUUGGGGGAAAGCCGGGGACCUUCGGGCCUGGCGCGAUUGGAUGAGCCCAUGUUCGAUUAGCUAGUUGGCGGGGUAAAGGCCCACCAAGGCGACGAUCGAUAGCUGGUCUGAGAGGAUGAUGCCCCAACCGGGGGUGGAGAAGCGGCCCAGCACCCGAGGGGGGGCAGAGGGAGGGAAAGUUGGCAAAGGGGGGGAAGCGGGAUCCAGCCGUGGCGGGGGGGUGAAGAAGGCCCUCGGGUUGGAAAGCGUUUUUGGCGGGAAAAAAAGGCAUUGGGUUAAAACCCGGGUGUUUGAAGGGAACGGGAAGAAAAAGCACCGGCAAACUUGGG